AAAUGUUUGUACUAAUGUUUUAAGAAAUAUGUAAAGGAGCUUUUAUAUGUUACAUAUGACCCCUUUUAAUUUUAUGUGCACUUUUUAGCUUUGUGACGUAUUAAAUAGAAAUACCUUUUUUACUAUUUGUUUUUCUGCAAACUAGCAGCUCCUCAGCUGAUAAAGCGGAAUCCAUUUACUCUUUAGAUUUAAUCUGUUUCCUUUUUGGAGCCAACGUGAAGCAAU